ensembl:lincRNA linc-16 ncRNA
CAAUAUUUGCCAUCUGUCGGGGUCACCACUGGACCCCCAUUCUACCUAUCUCUCCCCUCAUUAUUCCUCCAAGACGGCCUACGGAAUGGCUGUCCCUUAUAUUUUUUUGUUGCUUUUAUUGAUUUAUUGCUAAAUUUCUCCACGGUUCUUCAAAAUGAUUGGUCUUCAAAAUAUCGUCAUUAAAAAACCAGGCAAAACAGCGCGAAACGAAAAAAUAUUGAAAAUUGAGUGAGCCUCCAAGAGGAAAAAAAUUGGAAAUACUCACCAGACCCAAAAACUCUGGACGAAAUGGUCAGAAAAAAGCAGUUCGUAUACAACGCCCUGAGAUAAAAACAGAGAGCAACAAAACAUAGAAGAGGAUAUCAUUAUCGCCGCAAUUUCCAACCUUUUAGAAGACCAAAAAAUAAUCUUGAUCUGGAUCUUAUCACCACGCUACGAACGGCCACGAGAAAAAAUCUGUUGUAUUGCACUUCUGAGUAGAUUAUAAAUUCGAUAAUUCAAUUGUGACUCACUUUUUUUAUUUAAAAAAAUCUGUUUCAACCAUUUUUUAAAUAAAAGCAUUUUCGAU